CCUACGGGUGGCAGCAGUGGGGAAUAUUGGGCAAUGGGCGCAAGCCUGACCCAGCAACGCCGCGUGAAGGAAGGAGGCUCUCGGGUUGUAAACUUCUUUUAUCAGGGACGAAGCAAGUGACGGUACCUGAUGAAUAAGCCACGGCUAACUACGUGCCAGCAGCCGCGGUAAUACGUAGGUGGCAAGCGUUAUCCGGAUUUACUGGGGGUAAAGGGCGUGUAGGCGGGAAAGCAAGUCAGCUGUGAAAACCAUGGGCUCAACCUGUGGCCUGCAUUUGAAACUGUUUUUCUUGAUUACUGGAGAGGCAGACGGAAUUCCUAGUGUAGCGGUGAAAUGCGUAGAUAUUAGGAGGAACACCAGUGGCGAAGGCGGUCUGCUGGACAGCAACUGACGCUGAGGCGCGAAAGCGUGGGGAGCAAACAGGAUUAGAUACCCCAGUAGUC
rnacentral:rRNA from 1 species